ensembl:lncRNA
GGGCAGAGUGAGAGACAGGCUUAGAGGGAGGGAGGGAGGGAGGGAGGGAGGGAGGGAGGGAGGGAGGGAGGGAGGGAGGGAGGGAGGGAGGGAGGGAGGGAGGGAGGCAGAGAGAGAGAGGGAGUUAUAAUCCUGGUGGAGCGCUGAUUUCGCCAGGCCAGACGAAUCGCCUCCAGGAUCCUGUCACCAUCUCUAUGAAGAUAAAUGGUAUCAUUAAACAGGCUCUGUCAUCGAUUAAACAUCCUGUUGGAAUCCUGUUUUUUUAUGUGGAAAUACAAAAUUGCAAUGGAUAAUGUUCAACAUGAUUCAACGUUUCAGGGUUUGUUACAGAAGGUCCAAUAACAUUCCAGAAUUCAGAUAGAGCUGCAGCGGUUUUAACCUUUACUUGUGUUACUGCCAAAAAACGGUGUUUCACACCAAGCAAUUUGAGUUGAAUACAUGUUGUUAUUACUGGGACUAUGUCAUAAUGGCUGAUUAUGAUUGUUACAAUACCCACUACUAGCAGCUACAAUGCUAUUAGUACCAACGGCAAUACGAGAUCCAUUCAUGAUGAAUACACACUGAAAUGCCAUGGAGAUGGAUGUGUGUCUACAAAAGCACACAGGCAUUGUUGCGUUGGCCGUGAGGUGUGUUUGUUUGUGAGGGCCUGAGUGUGUGUGUGGUGUGGAUGGGAGAGUACACAGAGAAGGAGUAAAAGUGUGUGUAUGUGUGAGUGAGUGAUUAGAUUAGGUCUGUCUGUCUUUGUGUGUAUGCAUUCAUAUGUGUGUAUCUGUAGUGUGUGUGCUUUCUUGCCUGCAUGUGUGUGUGUGUGCCACAGAGAGAGGAAGUAUAAGGGGGUGCAGGUGGCAUGGAGCAGGCUGGCACGGGCGGGCACGGGCCCACUGUCCCCUGGCAAUGCCAACACCAUCUGUCAUGGAGAGGAACAUCUGCAGCCCAAGGUGCCCUUGUCACCCAGCGUUAGAGUAACCAGUUUGGCGUUUCCAUUGGAAGCGACCUGGCAUAGCCAGAGCCACGCAAUUUAUGUGUGUGUUUGUGUCUGUAUGUGUGUUUGUGUGAGAGAGAGGGAGGGAGGGAGGGUGAGUGUGUGUGUGUGUGUGUGUGUGUGUGUGUGUGUGUGUGUGUGUGUGUGUGUGUGUGUGUGUGUGUGUGUGUGUGUGUGUGUGUGUGUGUGUGUGUUAGAGAACCAAAGCCAAAACAACAUGGCUGUGCAAAGCGUUGACCCAGCUGGACCCCAGUUGCAUGCAGAGUCAUGUCCCCUCCUGAUGCUAGUGUGCCACUACAUCCACACCGCUGCCAGACUUAGCCCUGCAAGCCCUCUCUCCUACCCUCCUGCCUCUCCUCUCCUCUCCUCUGGUGUCUCCUCUCCUCCGGUGUCUCUCCUCUCCUCCUGUGUCUCUCCUCUCCUCCUGUGUCUCUCCUACCCUCCUGCCUCUCCUCUCCUCCUGUGUCUCCUCUCCUCUGGUGUCUCCUCUCCUCUGGUGUCUCCUCUCCACUGGUGUCUCCUCUCCUCCGGUGUCUCUCCUACCCUCCUGCCUCUCCUCUUCUCUGGUGUCUCCUCUCCUCUGGUGUCUCCUCUCUGGUGUCUCCUCUCCACUGGUGUCUCCUCUCCUCCUGUGUCUCUCCUCUCCUCCUGUGUCUCUCCUCUCCUCCUGUGUCUCUCCUCUCCUCCGGUGUCUCUCCUCUCCUCAUGUGUCUCUCCUCUCCUCAUAAGUCUCUACUCUCCUCCUGUGUUUCUCCUCUCCUCCUGUGUCUCUCCUCCGGUGUCUCUCCUCUCCUCCUGUGUCUCUCCUCUCCUCAUAAGUCUCUAUUCUCCUCCUGUGUUUCUCCUCUCUUCCUGUGUCUCUCCUCUCCUCCUGUGUCUCUCCUCUCCUCAUAAGUCUCUCCUCUCCUCCUGUGUCUCCCUC